GACGAACGCUGGCGGCGUGCUUAACACAUGCAAGUCGAGCGGUAAGGCCCUUUCGGGGGUACACGAGCGGCGAACGGGUGAGUAACACGUGGGUGACCUGCCCUCAGCUCUGGGAUAAGCCUGGGAAACCGGGUCUAAUACUGGAUAUGACUCCAUGACGCAUGUUGUGGGUGGAAAGCCUUGUGCGGCUGAGGAUGGGCCCGCGGCCUAUCAGCUUGUUGGUGGGG
rnacentral:rRNA from 1 species